GUCAGAGGGAUGUGUAGUGAGGACAGCAACAUCAAGUCAGGGAUGUGUAGUGAGGACAUCAACAUCAGGUCAGAGGGAUGUGUAGUGAGGACAGCAACAUCAAGUCAGAGGGAUGUGUAGUGAGGACAGCAACAUCAUGUCAGAGGGAUGUGUAGUGAGGACAGCAACAUCAAGUCAGAGGGAUGUGUAGUGAGGACAGCAACAUCAAGUCAGGGAUGUGUAGUGAGGACAGCAACAUCAAGUCAGAGGGAUGUGUAGUGAGGACAGCAACAUCAAGUCAGAGGGAUGUGUAGUGAGGACAGCA